UGGGGAAUAGUGUAAUGGUAGCACGACUGACUCUGGAUCAGUUAGUGAGGGUUCAAAUCCUUCUUCCCCAG
rnacentral:tRNA from 1 species